rnacentral:rRNA from 1 species
UAAGGAAAAUUGGACAAUGGUCGCAAGACUGAUCCAGCCAUGCCGCGUGCAGGAUGACAGCCCUACGGGUUGUAAACUGCUUUUAUACGGGAAAAAUUCCCCCGACGUGUCGGGGGUCGAUUGUACCGUACGAAUAAGCACCGGCUAACUCCGUGCCAGCAGCCGCGGUAAUAAUCA